rnacentral:lncRNA from 10 species
CGACAUUCAAGGAGAGGGAGACGAAGAGCCACUAAGGAGAGCCCUGAAGUGAAAUUGUUCAGAAUGGUAGGAAGAAAACCAACAGAGUGUGGUGUGCAAUAACUGUGAAAAGUUGGCAAGAUGGCCUGACUGUGCCACAGAUUUACAUAAGGGCAAGUACAAAAGGGAAACUCUGAAAAAAGCCUACCGAAAGAAGGUCAUGUGUUGGAAGAGUCGGCUGAAGUAUUGAACCACAGACUGGGAAAUGAGGCUCCAAGAUAACCACGCUGAUUAAUGUCACCAACGCAGUAAAUCAUGGAGAAAGGACCUGGAUGUCUGAAAACAAAUUAUUUUACAAGUGGAAAAGUUAACAAAGAAUGUACAAUGUUUUCUGAAAAUGUGUAAUUCUCUUCAUCGUUUUGAACUGUGACUUCUGGAAAUCUGCUCACUGGUGAUGGAGAUAGUCACGGAAGUAUCACCCAUCAGGACACAAAGACAGGCCCUGAGACUCUGGUGACUUGGUGGUAUAAAGUGAAGAGCACUGGACUGCAAAUAAGGAAUCCUGUACUCAGAACCCUGCAUCACAGAAUAGCCUUGCAAAUGAGCAAGCCCGUCUCCUUACCUUUACCUACUCUACAAAACAGAAAAUAAAGCGGAUGAAAAUCAUAGAGGUACUAGGUAAUGUGCCUGGCGCCAUGUGUGUUAUGCAGAAUGAACCACUCAACAUUCUACCAGCCUACCGUUUACCAUCUCAGAGAGUGAGCCCACAACCCACUAACAUAUAAUGAAUGUCCUUUCCUCCAACCUGGUACCACUCAGUUCAACAGUGGCCAUAUCAAUUCAAUUGUUUAAAUUCUGUGUACUUAAAGGAAAUGCACCAAUUGGUUUGAACUAAAGCAAAUUCCUGCCCUAUUAGAAGUGUGCAAAGACCAAAGAAUAUCAAAGGGCUACGACCUUUCCUGAAUCAAGUCUGGAUUUAAACCAAUGGCCUUAAAUAAAAUAAGAAAUACUAAAAUAGAGAACAUUAGCCUCAGUAGUUAAGAGCAGGGCUUUAAAUCAGUGGACCUUGUGUGCUUGGGGGUGGAAAGUAUCCAGAUGACAGGCUUCUUCUCCAAUAGGGCUUCUUUCCAAACAUUUCCAUGCAUGUCUACUCACUACUGAAAGCUCAGGGUCCUAAAAGAUCAUCACAUUUUAUUCCUCAAAUCCAGUCAAUCACAUAGAGGCAUUUUCUUGUUUGGCUUGAUAGAAUAGAUGAGAAUGAUCCCACAUGAUCCUAAGAGGCAGGAACAACUGGUGAGAACCCAUUUCUCAGCAUGCUUCAAUCAAGAAGUCCACGUCAUCAGCAGCGCUAAUUUAAUUUAAAAAAAGCGGUGGUGCUAUAAUUGGCUUGCCAUUCUAGCUAGUGGGUUUCCAGGGUAACCGUGUUCUUGCCACAGAUAAAAUCUACCUAGUAGCACAAAGACUAAGGGUUUGAGAAGAGUCAGCAUCAAAUGAGAGGUCAAGAAUUCAGCCUGAAGAGAGCUACAUCAAAAGCAUAUUUAGUUAAGGUGGACCGGAUCCAAAAUCUGAGCCCUGCCACGUACUAGCUGUACCAUUUCAGAAAAAAAUAUUUAACUUCUCUAGGCCUUGUUUCCUCAUCUGCAAGAUGAACACAAUAAUGGAACCUGUUCUUGUAGGAUUGUUACAGGAAUAAAACAGAGAACUUAAACAUUAAUUUG